rnacentral:lncRNA from 1 species
GAGUUGAGCCAGAAAUAAAGAUCAAGUCUUCUGGCCCAUGCACUAGGCCCCAUGCUGCCUCACAGCUUUCAAAACCUUCAUUUUCUUGGGAAAUGCUAAAAAGCUUUCCCCUACCAUACAUACUAGAUUCAGACACACUGCCAUCUACUGACCCACCAAAGGAUGUGCCAGCACAAGACAUCCUGACCUUCAAGGGAGGGAGGAACACCUUGAGAGGAGUUGAGAUCCUGCUUUCUCUUCAGAAUGCCAUCUCUAGGAUGCCAAUGGGCUGUGUCUACAGUACUAUGUAGGAAAGUGCUGCAAGAGGUCCGCGUCACCUUUAGGAGCUGUAACACUCACCGCGAAGGUCUGCAGCUUCACUCCUGAAGCCAGCGAGACCACGAACGCACCGGGAGGGAUGAACAACUCCGGACGGGAGGAACGAACAACUCCAGACGCGCCAUCUUAAGAGCUGUAACGCUCACUGCGAAGGUCUGCAGCUUCACUCCUGAAGCCAGCAAGACCACGAACCCACCAGAAGGAAGAAACUCUGAACACAUCUGAACAUCAGAAGGAACAAACUCCAGACACGCCACCUUUAAGAACUGUAACACUCACCGCGAGGGUCCGCAGCUUCGUUCUUGAAAUCAGUGAGAUGAAGAACCCACCAAUUCCAGACACAGUAACACCAGUUAUCACUGAUUGCAGUUCAUCAUAACAGAUAUAAUAAUAAUUUAAAAGUUUGAAAUAUUAUGAAAAUUACCAAAAUGUAACACAGACACAUGAAGCAUUGGAAAAAUGGCACCAAUAGUGUUGUUUGAUGUAGCAUUACCAUAAAUCUUAGAUUUGUAAAUAACAAAGUAUUUGUGAAGCACAGUAAAGCAAAGCACAAUAAAAAUGACGUGUGCUUGUAUUUUAAAAGAACAGAUUGAAUUGGGAAGGGUAGUUGAGGAACUGGAAGCAGAGAGAACAGGUACAAGAUUCACGUAGUAGUCCAAGAAAAUUAAAGCAAGUAGAAAAACUAACAGAAGUUCAGGAUAAAAGAUUUUGAGGCCUUAACUACACAUUUCCAGAAGGAAUGGAAAAAGGUCAGAAAUGAGAAUGUGGAAAUAUCCUCAGCUGAUUUGACUGUAAGUAGAAAGUGUUGGCAUAAAAAAAAUGGACGAAGCCAAAAAACUCAUGGAAUGAUGAAUAAUUAAAUAAAUUGAGGUCUCCUUAUCAAAAACAAAAAUGAAGACAUGUAGAUAGAAAUUUAUAUGUCUUUACUCUGUAAAGCUGGGAGAAUACCCAGAAGGUAUUUAGGAAGUAUGUGAUAAAAAUUUAAGAUUGGAGUUAAUGAACCAGAGAUAGGCAUGAGACACAUAAUAGGUAAUAAUACAGGUUAGCUGGUAAGAUCUUUGGAGCACAGCAAGCUUGGAUUUGAGUUAGUAAUAAUAAUUAUGCACUGCACAUUUUAGCCUUUAUAAUUUUUCACUGGUUCUUCCACUUAAUAGGCAUCUUUUAACAUCUAUUAAGUGUAGGAAAAUACUAAGAGCUGGAGAUACAGCAGUAAUAAAUAAAGUUUAUUUAAGUAAGUGUAAAGUUAAUAAAACACAGUCCCUAAUCUCAUUACUCUUACACUGAGAGAUUUUCACAUUCAAAAUUUACUGAGCACCUAUUGGGUACAGAGGACUUGGAUGGGCAAAUGAAUACAAUAUGUCUCUUGCUGUGUUGUUGGAACAAGUGGAAUGCUGGGGACAUCCAAAGAAAGGAGACCACAUGGAGGAGGUGAUAUUGGAUCUUGAGGGAUGAUUAAGAGUCAUCAAACAAACGACAUUUAUAUAUAUAUUAUAAUAUCAUCUCCUGUAAUCUCGCUCACACCCUGUGAGGACCAAGUAAAUAUAUUAAAGAUGUAUUUCUUAUAGAAUAUUCUGAGCAAGAUGAGAGAAAGGAUAGUAUGAUAGCCCUGUCAGUCCUUGUAUUCCUCUCCCUAAUUUCACUGUUUUGUUGAAAGUGUUUGUUUGGUUUUUUUAAUAGUUUUUAUUUUGUAUUUAGCUCUAGACAAAAGAACAGUACUAUUCCUUGAAAACAUUUAUUCUUUAGGGAUAUGAAGUGGUAUGUUUGCCCAACAAAAUACACAAUUUCUAAAAUAUUAUGACUAAUUCAAGCAAAUGUAUUCUCUAAAGAAAAAUUUCCACUUCACUUUGUCUACAUAGAGGUAGAUUUAAUAAACAAGUUAUAACAAAAGUCUUCUGUCAGUAUUUUUCCUCAGCACUAUUAUAAAGGGUGGUAAAAAUUCCUUUCUUUGACAAAAGAGACUUUUUCCUCUUUUCCCCCAAGACACUAAUGAAUAUAAAUGUGCAAGUAAAAUAUUUUCACUUAGAUUCACAGUGUCUGACACUAAUAUACUCUAGAGCAUUUAAAUUUUUCCUCAACUUAAAACUAACUGCCAAUUUUUAAAAUGUUAAUUAUUAUUCCCCAAAUUAAGUAAGAAUAAUAAUAUAUUUUGCAUAGCAAGCAUUGUGCCUUCUAAGAAAAGAGGCAUUUUAUUUUCUGUUUAACUAUCUUCUUUCUGUCGAUCAGUGUCAGUAGCUUGUCAAAAACAAGUCAAGGACAACCUGCUUUGAUAUCUAUGCAAAUAGGAUUCAAUUAUCCCCAAUGAGUUUGCAAAACUUGCAGAAGUCAUUAAUUUGAAAAACAUGAGGAUUAAUGCAGGGGAUUUGGAACCUAUGUCAAAGACGUUUUAAAAUUACUACCAUAUAAACUUUGAUUCUUAAACGCAGAAAAUGCCUAAUGCAGCUAAUUUUAACUACUAUGAACUAUAACUUACAUAAUAAAAACACAACUGGCUAACAUUAUUAUCCUCUUUCUUGCAUAAUUUGUCUAAAAAUUAACAUCUCAUGCUUCUCUUAACUGAAGAACUUCUUCUAACAUUUCCUUUAUGCAAGUCUGCCAAUAAUUAAUUCUUUCAAGUUUUUUUAUUUUGCCUGAAAAAAGUAUUUAUUUCUUCUUCAUUUUAAUAUAAUUAAUAGACUAUUUUAGCACAGUUUUAGAUUUUCUAAAAACUUGCAAAGAAACUGCAAAAAGUUUCUGUGAACCUCACCCCCAAUUUCUCCUAUGAUUAGUAUCUUACAUUACUAUAGUAUAAUUGUUACAAUUAAUGGAUUAAUAUUGAUAUAUAGUUACUAGCAAAAGUCCAUGGUUUAUUCCUUCUUUAUUUAUUUAUUUUUAGUUUUUAUGUAACAUCCUUCAACUUUUUGUUUUUCUUCAGGACACUAUUUUUCUUCAGUAUUGUAUUGGCAAUUCUAGAUCUUUUGCCUUUCCAUAUAAACUUUGAAAUACAUUUGUCAAUAUCUCCACUAUACCUGGCUGAGAUAUUGAUUGGGAUUGUGUUGAAUCUAUAGACAAAGUUGAAAGAAAGUGACAUCUUAGCAAUACUGAACAUUCUAAUCUAUGAAGAUGAAAUAUAUCUUCAUGUUCUUUUAUCUUUUUUGAUUUAUCAGGGUUUUGUAGUUUUCUCCAUAUGACACCCACACAUUUUCAUGAUGUUUACACCUAAGUAUUUAUUUUUCUUUUUUGGUAUUAUUGUAAAAGUUAUUUAAAAGGCUUACUUUUUUAUUUCAAAUUCUGAAUGUUCCUUACUGGUAUACAGGAAAGCAUUUGACUUUCGUGUAUUUACUUUGUGCCCUGUAACCUUGUUAAAUUUGAUCAUUACUUCUGAGUAUUUCUGUUGAUUCUUUGAGAAUUUUCUCAUAAUAUCAUUUUAAAUAAAAAGACAAUAUUAUUUCUUCCUUUCCAGUAUGUAUGUAUUUUAUUUUCUUGUCUUGUUGCAACAGAUAGAACUUCCAAUGUGAUAUUAAGUAGGAGUGGUAAGAUAGACAUCUUUGCCUUUUCCUGAUACUUGUCAAGAAAUAUCCAAUUUCUCACCACUAACUAUGAUGUUAAUUGUUCAUUUUUUUUUGUUUCUCACCACGAAGUAUGAUGAUGAUGCUAAAGUGUAGAUUUUCUGUUAGCUGUAGGUUCUUUACCAAGAUGAUGACAUUCCUCCCUCUUUUUUGUUUGUCCAGUAUUAUGAUAGCC